UACGAAGGGGGCUAGCGUUGCUCGGAAUUACUGGGCGUAAAGGGAGCGUAGGCGGUGAUCUUUGUCAGAGGUGAAAGCCCGGGGCUCAACUCCGGAAUUGCCUUUGAAACGGGAUCGCUUGAGUCCGAGAGAGGAUGGCGGAAUUCCUAGUGUAGAGGUGAAAUUCGUAGAUAUUAGGAAGAACACCGGUGGCGAAGGCGGCCAUCUGGCUCGGUACUGACGCUCAGGCGCGAAAGCGUGGGGAGCAAACAGG
rnacentral:rRNA from 1 species